rnacentral:rRNA from 1 species
AUAAGCGGAGGAAAAGAAACCAACAGGGAUUGCCCCAGUAACGGCGAGUGAAGCGGCAAUAGCUCAAAUUUGAAAUCUGGCCCUUUUAGGGUCCGAGUUGUAAUUUGCAGAGGGCGCUUUGGAGUCGACAGCAGCCUAAGUUCCUUGGAACAGGUCAUCAUAGAGGGUGAGAAUCCCGUAUGUGGCUGCUUGUCUUCGCCGUGUAAAGCCCCUUCGAUGAGUCGAGUUGUUUGGGAAUGCAGCUCUAAAUGGGAGGUAAAUUUCUUCUAAAGCUAAAUAUUUGGCCAGAGACCGAUAGCGCACAAGUAGAGUGAUCGAAAGAUGAAAAGCACUUUGGAAAGAGAGUCAAAAAGCACGUGAAAUUGUUGAAAGGGAAGCGCUUGCAGCCAGACGUGCCCGUAGUUGCUCAUCCGGGGUUCUCCCCGGUGCACUCUUCUAUGGGCAGGCCAGCAUCAGUUCAGGCGGCUGGAGAAAGACCUGUGUCAUGUAGCUGUUCUCGGGCAGUGUUAUAGGGCAGGUGGAAUGCAGCCAGCUUGAACUGAGGUCCGCGCAAUUGCUAGGAUGCUGGCGUAAUGGCUGUAAGCGGCCCGUCUUGAAACACGGACCAAGGAGUCUAACAUCUAUGCGAGUGUUUGGGUGUCAAGCCCGAGCGCGUAAUGAAAGUGAACGGAGGUGGGAACCCCUCGGGGUGCACCAUCGACCGAUCCUGAUGUCUUCGGAUGGAUUUGAGUAAGAGCAUAGCUGUUGGGACCCGAAAGAUGGUGAACUAUGCCUGAAUAGGGUGAAGCCAGAGGAAACUCUGGUGGAGGCUCGCAGCGGUUCUGACGUGCAAAUCGAUCGUCAAAUUUGGGCAUAGGGGCGAAAGACUAAUCGAACUAUCUAGUAGCUGGUUCCUGCCGAAGUUUCCCUCAGGAUAGCAGUAACGUUUUCAGUUUUAUGAGGUAAAGCGAAUGAUUAGAGGCCUGGGGGUUGAAACAACCUUCACCUAUUCUCAAACUUUAAAUAUGUAAGAAGUCCUUGUUUCUUAAUU